CUAUACAUGCAGUCGAGCGCGAGAGUGAGGAGCUUGCUCCUCAUGAUCGGGCGGCGGACGGGUGAGUAACACGUAGGCAACCUACCCUUGAGAUUGGGAUAACUACCGGAAACGGUAGCUAAUACCGGAUACGACUUUACUGCAUAAGCAGUUCAGUUAAAAGGCGGAUUUAUCUGCCGCUCAUGGAUGGGCCUGCGGUGCAUUAGCUAGUUGGUGAGGUAGUGGCUCACCAAGGCGACGAUGCAUAGCCGACCUGAGAGGGUGAUCGGCCACACUGGGACUGAGACACGGCCCAGACUCCUACGGGAGGCAGCAGUAGGGAAUCUUCCGCAAUGGACGAAAGUCUGACGGAGCAACGCCGCGUGAGUGAUGAAGGGUUUCGGCUCGUAAAACUCUGUUGUUAAGGAAGAAUACUUGAGGUAGUAACUGGCCUUAAGAUGACGGUACUUAACCAGAAAGCCACGGCUAACUACGUGCCAGCAGCCGCGGUAAUACGUAGGUGGCAAGCGUUAUCCGGAAUUAUUGGGCGUAAAGCGCGCGUAGGCGGUAAAAUAAGUCUGAUGUGAGAGCCCCCGGCUCAACCGGGGAGGGUCAUUGGAAACUGUUUUACUUGAGUACAGAAGAGGAGAGUGGAAUUCCAUGUGUAGCGGUGAAAUGCGCAGAGAUAUGGAGGAACACCAGUGGCGAAGGCGGCUCUCUGGUCUGUAACUGACGCUGAGGUGCGAAAGCGUGGGGAUCAAACAGGAUUAGAUACCCUGGUAGUCCACGCCGUAAACGAUGAGUGCUAAGUG
rnacentral:rRNA from 1 species